rnacentral:rRNA from 1 species
GAUGAACGCUGGCGGCGUGCUUAACACAUGCAAGUCGAACGAAGCAUUUCCUUUUCUUCGGAAAAGGAAAUGACUGAGUGGCGGACGGGUGAGUAACGCGUGGGUAACCUGCCUCAUACAGGGGGAUAACAGCUGGAAACGGCUGCUAGUACCGCAUAAGCGCACAAUGCUGCAUGGCAUAGUGUGAAAAACUCUGGUAGUAUGAGAUGGACCCGCGUCUGAUUAGCUAGUUGGUAAGGUAAUGGCUUACCAAGGCGACGAUCAGUAGCCGACCUGAGAGGGUGACCGGCCACAUUGGGACUGAGACACGGCCCAAACUCCUACGGGAGGCAGCAGUGGGGAAUAUUGCACAAUGGGCGAAAGCCUGAUGCAGCGACGCCGCGUGAGCGAAGAAGUAUUUCGGUAUGUAAAGCUCUAUCAGCAGGGAAGAAAAAAAUGACGGUACCUGACUAAGAAGCACCGGCUAAAUACGUGCCAGCCGCCGCCGUAA